UACGGAGGGUGCAAGCAUUAAUCGGAUUUAUUGGGCGUAAAGGGCGCGUAGGCGGGUUUGUAAGUCAGAUGUGAAAUUCCGAAGCUCAACUUCGGAGCUGCAUUUGAAACUACAAGUCUUGAGGGUAGGCGGAGAAAAUGGAAUUCCACGUGUAGCGGUGAAAUGCGUAGAUAUGUGGAAGAACACCGGUGGCGAAAGCGAUUUUCUAGCUUAUACCUGACGCUGAGGCGCGAGAGCAAGGGGAGCAAACAGG
rnacentral:rRNA from 1 species